GCGCCGCUAGCUCAAUUGGCAGAGCAGCGGACUCUUAAUCCGCGGGUUCGGGGUUCAAGUCCCUGGCGGCGCACCA
rnacentral:tRNA from 1 species